rnacentral:rRNA from 1 species
AAGAUUAAAACUCAAAGGAAUUGACGGGGGCCCGCACAAGCAGCGGAGCAUGUGGUUUAAUUCGAAGCAACGCGAAGAACCUUACCUAGACUUGACAUCUCCUGAAUUACUCUUAAUCGAGGAAGUCACUUCGGUGACAGGAAGACAGGUGGUGCAUGGUUGUCGUCAGCUCGUGUCGUGAGAUGUUGGGUUAAGUCCCGCAACGAGCGCAACCCUUAUUGUUAGUUGCUACCAUUUAGUUGAGCACUCUAGCGA